rnacentral:lncRNA from 1 species
UAGCUGCUGCCAAUUCCUUUCCUGGUUUUGGAACUAGUGGUGAUGAUACUGCCCGUAGGAAAGAAAUUGCUGCCUUUUUCGGUCAAACUUCUCAUGAAACUACAGGUAAUUUGACUUAUCAUCCCUCAACUGUAAUCUUAGCAAUGCUGCUAAUUUGUUUUUGACUCUGUUUGCAUUGUAGUACUGAAUCAAUAUAUGAAAGUGUCUAUCGAUCGGGUGCAAUUUACCAAGUUGUCUGGUUUAUUUUUUAUGUUACUAAUUCCACUUAUUAUUAGAAGGUGUAACAUUUGUUCUUUCGCAGGUGGUUCCCUGAGUGCAGAACCUUUUACAGGAGGAUAUUGCUUUGUUAGGCAAAAUGACCAGAGUGACAGAUAUUAUGGUAGAGGACCCAUCCAAUUGACAAAGUACGUAAGAAAGAUCAAUAGAAUACCAAUUGUUGAAAAAUCACCUUAAAUGACCUUUGACAGGGGCAAUUAUAUUAAGGGUCAUUUCUCUAUAUCUGUUUCAUACGGAGUAUUAAAUAAGAACACUGAAAAUGCAUAUAUUUAGUGCCAUAAUGACUGAUUUUGAAAUGAUAAACUUUUGCAGCCAAAAUAACUAUGAGAAAGCUGGAAAUGCAAUUAGACAAGACCUAGUUAACAACCCAGAUUUAGUAGCUACAGAUGCUACUAUAUCAUUCAAAACA